UUUUUUAUCUCUGUUUUAUAGAGAAACAAAAAUAGGUUAUUCUUAAACUGUUCACUGCGCUGGAGAAAAAUGAUGUGUCCCCAGUUCAAUUCCUUUCUUAGUUAAUCCAGUUAAAAUGGGCCUAUACUACAGAAAACUCUUCUAGCAGAUAACUUAUGUCUGAGCUUAUUCUGAGCAGAGAAACAUUGAGCAGACAAACCAGUUUCAACUCUAGGAAAAAGCCAUUAAGUGCUAUUGUAGGAAAGGCUUAGAAGCUAGUUUUCAGUACUUUGUUGCCUGGGAAACACUGCUUACCUUUCUAGUUUCCAUAGCAUUCCCAUGACACUGAACAUUCAAAACCUGAGAAAUUACCAAAAUGAUUGUCACAACUGCGUAACCACAGUUGCUUUGUCAUUGUGUUCUCUUUGAAUAACUGGGUUCCAGAAGCCAUGGAUCACAUCUCUUUUUACUUGUUCCCCCUAUUAGUAGGCACAGUGCAAUCUCUACCAUCAACUAACAGUUAUCUGUCAUCUGCUGCUGCUGGGGGAGACAAGGUGCUCUCAAAUGAUGCUGAGGACAGCGUGACAAAGGUUCCUCCGGUAUAUGGGACUUCUGCAUCUGCUUCCUCAUUACAUCAAGAACUCUCCCUGUGUGCUGAACGAGUAGCACGAACUCCAAGACCUGACUCUAGAUAUCUGCCUAGAAACAAAAGAUAUGAAAAUUCUACCACAGAUUCACCUGAAGAGUCUAUUUCCCUCAGAACAACAAAGGAAAAGCUAUCCAAGCAAGAGCUUCAUGAAGUGUCAGAAAAACUCUCUUGCAGGUUAAAUGAACUCGAUUUAGUAAGUGAAAUCUAUUCUUUGUUGUAUCUGAGCAAUCUAGCCUUAGUAAUGAUAGCAGGGAGAACAAGAAUA
rnacentral:lncRNA from 1 species